CCUUUUUUCCAUUUUAUUUCGUUUCGUUUAAAUUGCGGACGAAGCGUAAUAUUAUAAAAGAAACACCAUUAAUGACGAGAAUUUUUGUAAAUUUUUUUGGAAUUUUAGGAAAUAUUGUGGGGUUCUAAAUUUUUUAAUUGUUCCUAACAUUUUCUUUAAAUAAAUAAAAUAAAUUAAUAUUUCUUGGAGUUUAGUCGAGCUAAUUGUUUAUGUUUUGUGUCAUCGCGAAUUAUUUCUGGCAUGAUUAAGUAAAAUUGAUUUUAAUGGAAGGGAAUUAAGAAUCGGAUCUUGAGGGUUAAAGAGCGGUUUAAUGUGCAUUAUUCUUCAGUGAUAUAAAGGGAUUAAAAGGGAUAUGAGGAUUAAAAGGGAUAUCUGCAGAUAUACCGUAAAUCCUCAAAAUAGGCACCCUCUAAAAUAAGACCCCUCCCCUAUACAAUUUUUAAUUGCCGAUAAGCCGUUGUGCCUCCUCAGUUGUGUCCCAUGAAGUGAUAUAGAAGGAUUAGAAGUGAAUAAAUUGGUAUUUGGGAAAUAUUGAGGAUUUUGGAAAAAUAUUGAAGAUUUUGGAAGGUCUUUGCAAAAAAUAAAGAUAUUUUAUCCAAAAAAAUACAAUAAAAUAUAAGUCAACUAGGAAAUUACAAGCAAAACAAGGCCCUGUCCGAAAUGAAUGCCGCCAUCCAAUUUUUCCUUUACUCCUUGAAUGGGGAGAAAAAGUUAAUUUUUCAGCUGUUGUAUAUUAUACCGGUGGUAAGGUAACUUUGUCCAAACUUAUCCAAUCACGGUUCUUUCGACGAGCUCUUUCGAAUGAGCUAACAUUUGUAUAUUCGAAUAUUUUAUUUAAAAUCCGCCUAUGUAGUUCAUCAAAGUUGGAGGUCUGUAUCUCGGUCGAAUAAAAUCAGAUUUUGUUGAUUUUGCUGUCAUUCGACUCAGCUCGAAGCUCUUUCGAAUGAGCUAUCAUUCAAAGAAUCAAAUUUUUCACUCAAAAAUUGAGUUUACUCCCCCCUACUUCAACUGAAAAAUUAACUUUUUAUCCCCCAAACAAGGAGGAAAGGAAAAAUUGGAUGGCGGCAUUCAUUUCGGAAAGGGCCCAAAACCAUAAAGAGCUAUAAGAUUUGGGGAAUUAACAGAUAAAUUAAGGUUCAAAGAUGGUUCUGCGAUUUGGGGGUGUUGAAAAGCGAUACCAAAAGAUUUGAGGGCUAAAGGGUGAUAUCUGAGAUUUAGGGAAUAAAAGGUAUAUCUGGGAUUGAGCGAAAUUAAUUAACUUAUAAGAGGAUUUUGUAGGGUGUUAAAGAGAAUGGUGGUUAAGAGGGAUAUCGGAGGAUAUUGUGGCGAAGUGUGACAACAGGCAAUAAUGGUUUAAUUUUUAGGGUUAGAGUCUGUUAAUGGGUGUGAGAGAGUCCGUCGAGGGAUGUUGGGAACUAUAGUCACUGGGUGGAUUUUGGUUAUAACAUUAAAAAAUUUGAACGAGCGUUUUGGUGCCGCGAAGCGGCACCAAAACGCUCGUUCAAAUUUAACGAGAAUCAGAACCCACUGUCCCUAUCUACUAUCUAGCGAAACCACAGCCAAGGGAACGGGCUUGGCAAAUUUAGCGGGGAAAGAAGACCCUGUUGAGCUUGCCUCUAGUCGAUAGAAUAAUGUAGGUAAGGGAAGUCGGCAAAUUAGAUUCGUAACUUCGGGAAAAGAAUUGGCUCUAAAGGUUGGGUCAGUCGGGCUGUUGUGUGAAACUGGUGGACUUUGCUCGUGGCUGCUUGAGCUUCCUUACGGGGCGGCGCUUGUGGACUAGUAGUGAGGACUGCUUGUGGAGUGCUUCAGCUGCGUGCUAUUUCGCAAGAUAUAGUACUUCGAUUGGCGCUGAACAACCAGUUUAGAACUGGCACGAACUCCGGGAAUCCGACUGUCUAAUUAAAACAGAGGAGACGGAUGGUCCUUGCAGGACGUUGACCGUGUCUGAUUUCUGCCCAGUGCUCUGAAUGUUAAGCCAAGGAAACUUGAUUAAGCGCGGGUAAACGGCGGGAGUAACUAUGACUCUCUUAAGGUAGCCAAAUGCCUCGUCGGCUAACUACCGACGCGCACGAAUGGAUCAACGAGAUUCCCACUGUCCCUAUCUACUAUCUAGCGAAACCACAGCCAAGGGAACGGGCUUGGCAAAUUUAGCGGGGAAAGAAGACCCUGUUGAGCUUGACUCUAGUCUGACUUUGUGAAGAAUCAUGAGAGGUGUAGCAUAAGUGGGAGUCGCAAGACAACAGUGAAAUACCACUACUUUCAUCGAUUCCUUACUUAAUCGGUAAAACGGGAGUUGUGUCUAAGGACCUUCAUUUUGUUUUAAGACUAGCCACUCGGUGGUUGGUUGACUCGCGCCGAUGACAUUGUCAGGCGGGGAGUUUGACUGGGGCGGUACAUCUGUCAAAUUGUAACGCAGGUGUCCUAAGGCGAGCUCAGAGAGGACGGAAACCUCUCGUUGAGCAAAAAGGCAAAUGCUUACUUGAUCUUGAUUUUCAGUACGAAUACAGACCGCGAAAGCGUGGCUUAUCGAUCCUUUUGAGUUUGUAAAGUUUACAGCAAGAGGUGUCAGAAAAGUUACCACAGGGAUAACUGGCUUGUGGCGGCCAAGCGUCCAUAGCGACGUCGCUUUUUGAUCCUUCGAUGUCGGCUCUUCCUAUCAUUGCGAAGCAGAAUUCGCCAAGCGUUGGAUUGUUCACCCACCAAUAGGGAACGUGAGCUGGGUUUAGACCGUCGUGAGACAGGUUAGUUUUACCCUACUAAAUACUUGUUGCUAUGAUGGUAAUCCUGCUUAGUACGAGAGGAACCGCAGGUUCAGACAUUUGGUUCAUGUGCUUGGUCGAUAGGCCAAUGGCGCGAAGCUACCAUCUGAGGGAUUAUGACUGAACGCCUCUAAGUCAGAAUCCCGCCCAGUCAUGAUAGCAAUAUAUAUCGCUCUCCGGUGUCGGAAGGCAAAAUGUAUGCCAUUUUUUGUGGUAGUACAAGCCCCAGUAUCUGGCAUUUUCUUUCUACUAUAAUUGGUAGUUGGUUGCUAAAAGCUUAGCACUCCUCGUGCAUGUGUAACGUCGGGGCGCAAAAUCACUUGUAUACGACUUGAAUACUGGUCAGGGGGUUGUAAUCAGUAGAGCAGCUCUUCGCUGCGAUCUGUUGAGACUUAGCCCUUGAUCGGAUGAUUUGUCUUUUUU
rnacentral:rRNA from 1 species